AUUGAACGCUGGCGGCAUGCCUUACACAUGCAAGUCGAACGGUAACAGCACUUCGGUGGCUGACGAGUGGCGAACGGGUGAGUAAUACAUCGGAACGUGCCCGAGAGUGGGGGAGUAACGCAGCGAAGACUGUGCUAAUACCGCAUACGAUCUACGGAUGAAAGCAGGGGACCGGCAAGGCCUUGCGCUCAUGGAGCGGCCGAUGGCAGAUUAGGUAGUUGGUGGGAUAAAAGACUUACCAAGCCGACGAUCUGUAGCUGGUCUGAGAGGACGACCAGCCACACUGGGACUGAGACACGGCCCAGACUCCUACGGGAGGCAGCAGUGGGGAAUUUUGGUACGAAUGGGGGAGGACCCUGACCCAGCGACGCCGCGUGAGGGACGAAGGCCCUUGGGUCGUAAACCUCUUUUGCAGGGGAAGAAGAAGAUGACGGUACCUUGCGAACAAGUCCCGGCUAACUACGUG
rnacentral:rRNA from 1 species